rnacentral:rRNA from 1 species
AUUGAACGCUGGCGGCAGGCCUAACACAUGCAAGUCGAACGAGUGGCGGACGGGUGAGUAAUGUCUGGGAAACUGCCUGAUGGAGGGGGAUAACUACUGGAAACGGUAGCUAAUACCGCAUACCAUCAGAUGUGCCCAGAUGGGAUUGGCUAGUUGGUGGGGUAACGGCUCACCAAGGCGACGAUCCCUAGCUGGUCUGAGAGGAUGACCAGCGAUACUGGAACUGAGAAACGGUCCAGACUCCUACGGAAGGAAGCAGUGGGGAAUAUUGAACAGUGGGCGCAGGCCUGAUGCAGCCAUGCCGCGUGUAUAAAGAAGGCCGUCGGGUUGUAAAGUACGUUCAGCGGGGAGGCGUUACCCGCAGAAGAAGCACCGGCUAACUCCGUGCCAGCCGCCGCGGUAAUUC